rnacentral:rRNA from 1 species
AGUGAACGCUGGCGGUAGGCCUAACACAUGCGAGUCGAACGGCAGCACAGGAGAGCUUGCUCUCUGGGUGGCGAGUGGCGGACGGGUGAGGAAUACAUCGGAAUCUGCCCAGUCGUGGGGGAUAACGUAGGGAAACUUACGCUAAUACCGCAUACGACCUUCGGGUGAAAGAGGGGGAUCGCAAGACCUCUCGCGAUUGGAUGAGCCGAUGUCGGAUUAGCUAGUUGGCGGGGUAAUGGCCCACCAAGGCGACGAUCCGUAGCUGGUCUGAGAGGAUGAUCGGCCACACUGGAACUGAGACACGGUCCAGACUCCUACGAGAGGCAGCAGUGGGGAAUAUUGGACAAUGGGCGCAAGCCUGAUCCAGCCAUACCGCGUGGGUGAAGAAGGCCUUCGGGUUGUAAAGCCCUUUUGUUGGGAAAGAAAUCUUUCAGGCUAAUACCCUGGGAGGAUGACGGUACCCAAAGAAUAAGCACCGGCUAACUUCGUG